AGAACGAACGCUGGCGGCAUGCUUAACACAUGCAAGUCGAACGCUUGCAUGGGCUUCGGCCCAUGCAGGAGUGGCGCACGGGUGAGUAGCGCGUGGGAACCUGCCCUGAAGUGGGGAUAACCGAGGGAACUUCGGCUAAUACCGCAUACGCCGGGACCCUUGAGAGAGGGUAUCGGGAAAGAUUUAUCGCUUCAGGGACGGGGCCCGCGUCGGAUUAGCUUGUUGGUGGGUAACGCCUACCGAAGGCGAUGAUCCGUAGCUGGUCUGAGAGGAUGAUCACGCCACAUGGGACUGAGACACGGCCCAGACUCCGUAAGGGAGGCAGCAGGUGGGAAUAUUGGAACAAGUGGGCGACGAACGGCCUAGACU
rnacentral:rRNA from 1 species